rnacentral:rRNA from 1 species
UACGGAGGAUGCAAGCGUUAUCCGGAAUAAUUGGGCGUAAAGCGUCCGUAGGUGGCUGUUCAAGUCUGCCGUUAAAGACCGGGGCUUAACCCUGGAAAGGCGGUGGAAACUGAGCGGCUAGAGUGCAGUAGGGGUAGAGGGAAUUCCCAGUGUAGCGGUGAAAUGCGUAGAGAUUGGGAAGAACACCGGUGGCGAAAGCGCUCUGCUGGACUGCAACUGACACUGAGGGACGAAAGCUAGGGGAGCGAACGGG